rnacentral:ncRNA from 1 species
CAAAAUAGACCUGUAUGCGUCAAGUGUUCGGUGAAUGGGGAGUUGUCACCGGAACGAAAAGCACGUCUUACGGUAUAUGGGUCGCACCCGUUG